CUUCAGCGAUCCCAUCCACAGCGGCCGCCCCGCAGGUCGGUCCUUGCCAUAGACGGCCAGCACCGCCUGCGCCUC
rnacentral:antisense_RNA from 1 species